UUUUCAAAGCUGCAUUCCUUUUUUUUUUUUUGGCCUCGUUUGACUGAGGAGCACAUGAAUCUUGAAAGGGUGCUGCUAUGACAUCUUUCAUCAAAAAGCUGACAUGAAAAGGAAAAAAGGUACCAGAAAAAUGUUAGUGGUGGGCCCGCUGAUGUCCACAGGCUCUACGUGAAGGACCCCAUGUUUCACACAGUGGUGGAUUGCUCCAGUUCAGUCCAGUUCUAUAGAUCCGGUAGUAAAACCAAUGGGAGGCUCCGCCCACCCAACAUGACGUCAUCAUGCGGAACUGCACAUGUGCAGAAGCUUCUGCGCAUGCAUGCACGGUCCCAUUGCGAACCGGUA